rnacentral:rRNA from 1 species
CAGUAGCCGCGGUAAUGCGAAGGGGGCUAGCGUUGCUCGGAAUGACUGGGCGUAAAGGGCGCGUAGGCGGCAUAUACAGUCAGGCGUGAAAUUCCUGGGCUUAACCUGGGGGCUGCGUUUGAUACGUGUAGGCUAGAGUGGGGAAGAGGGUUGUGGAAUUCCCAGUGUAGAGGUGAAAUUCGUAGAUAUUAGGAAGAACACCGGUGGCGAAGGCGGCAACCUGGUCCUUGACUGACGCUGAGGCGCGAAAGCGUGGGGAGCAAACAGGAUUAGAUACCCCCGUAGUCCCUGUCUCUUAUAC